AUGUCUACCGCCAGCAUUGAGGACGACGACCAUCAGGCUGUCAGCGACGACGAAGAGGAGGAUGAAGACCUAGAGAAAUACCAACCUUUUACCGUUGAUGAUUUCCCAAGGGUUAGUAGUGAGUUUGAUGAGCAAUCUGAUGAUGUGUUCCAAAAUCCUGAUAUUCAACUUCGAGGCCCUUCAGCAAUGUUUCUUUUCCAGACAUUCAACGAUCCCCUUAUUGAAAAACACAAGCAUUUCUUCGGUAGCCAAUAUCAACUCUAUGAUGAGUCUGAAGUCAAUGUGAACAACAAUGUUAGGGCCAUUGAUUGCUCACACGGUUGCCAUUGUGUACCGAGCGGCGUGCUGCAGUUCAUUGAUCUCAAAAUUGCUGGUUAUCGCCACGUCCAACCUAGAUGUGCCAAUAUAUUUGGUUUUUUCGCAGUACGUGAGAAUGCUGAACCUUUGCGCAACUAUGUGUACAGGCGUGGGAUUAACAAUUAUGAAGCUGUAAAUGUGAAGCGGGAUACGGGCAUUGCACAUUUAUCGCUGACUAGCCCUGCUCGAUGUAUUCACAUGAGAAGCCGUGUGUUGUUUGAAUUCAAGCUUUCUGUACGGACUGAUGACCAGCCAGAAGAUGGGCCAAAAGAUGACAUUCUGAUUGAAGGAUGUACCGAGUUUACUGAGUUCAUGAACAUGUACAAAGCAGGACCAUUCAUCGAAACUCGGCGUCUGUACGGGGAGAAGUGUGGAUUGGAUAUGAAGUUUCUGGUGUUGAGGAAUGCAGUUCAAGCAAAGGUUGAUGUUGAGAUACUUCGUGCUCCUGUUGAUGGCCUUAAUCUGAAUCUUUAUGCGAAGACCAGUGGCUUCAGAGAUGUGAUCUGCCUCUUUUCUGGAGUUACAGAAUCAGGUUGCAGAAUGAGUUCGGUCGUAGGAGUGAUGAGAUACAGUUACCUUAUUCUUUGUAUCUCGCUGUAUUUUUCUGGAUGCCAGCUUCAGGCUUUUCACCUAGUCUCUAACUCUAAAGUCUUUGUAUUUGUUCCUCUCCUGAUUAAUCAAUGA
rnacentral:rRNA from 1 species